rnacentral:rRNA from 1 species
UACGUAGGGAGCGAGCGUUGGCCGGAUUCAUUGGGCGUAAAGAGCUCGUAGGCGGCUUGAUAAGUCGGAUGUGAAACCUCCAGGCUCAACCUGGAGUCGCCAUCCGAUACUGUCAUGGCUAGAGUCCGGUAGGGGCCCACGGAAUUCCUGGUGUAGCGGUGAAAUGCGCAGAUAUCAGGAGGAACACCGGUGGCGAAGGCGACUAUCUGGGCUGCAACUGACGCUGAGGAGCGAAAGCUAGGGGAGCAAACGGG